UUUUGCUGACCAUCUCUUCUGCAUGCACAUGCAAGUCUUACGGCUACGGGGGAGCUUGCUCUCGCUGUCGAGUGGCUGCACGGGUGAGUAACGCUUAUGCAACCUGCCCCGUACCGGGGUAUAGCCCAGGGAAACUUGGAUUAACCCCCCAUGGCCCAUUUAUAUGGCAUCAUAUGGAUGGUAAAGUUUACGGGUACGGGAUGGGCAUGCGGUCCCAUUAGCUUGUUGGUGCGGUAACGGCGCACCAAGGCACCGAUGGGUAGGGGUCCUGAGAGGGAGGCCCCCCACACUGGUACUGAGACACGGACCAGACUCCUACGGGAGGCAAGCAAGUGAGGAAUAUUGGACAAUGGGCGGAAGCCUUGAUCAACCAUGCCGCGUGCAGGAAGACGGCCCUACGGGUUGUAACUUGUUUUGUCCGGGAAGAAUAAGGGCACCUGUGCCCCAUGACGGUCCCGAAAAAUAACACCGGUUACCUCCGGCCAACAGCCCGGGAAUUCCGAGGGUGCAAGCGUUAUCCCGAAUAUUUGGGUUAAAGGGGCCUGGGGGGGCCCUUAAUAAU
rnacentral:rRNA from 1 species